ACACCUGGCCAUUCGGGUGCCCCUCAAUUGGGUAUGUACUCAAAAAGUUCCAUGAAAGUCCUGAGGCGGAAGGGUCGGCUCUGAAAUUCUCCGGGGUCGUAUUAAAGUUCCAACUUUAAGCUUGUGCAUGUAAUUAACACUUUCGGUAAAGUUUGCCGCUGCCGUCUGUUUCAAUAUUUGUGUUUUCAUUGGGUAGUUUGGUUGAAUUUUUUGUCUUUCGGGGCUCGUCUCGUCCCGUGCCUUUAUUGUCGCCAGUAAGCUAGGGAAAAUAUGGAAAUUUUAUUGCUCGCUUAUGUUUGAGUUAAUUUGGCAACAAUUUUGUUGAAUUUUAAUGAGUGUGCGAGUAGCAUAAGUCCCACGUCCAACGUCCAACGUCCCACGUCCCGGAAUCCCUGAUGAUGGCUGGCAUGGAGUUUGAUGAUUUUGUGUACUGAUUUAAGCCCUUGACAGAGCGACAGACUGCUGACGAGGAUGAGGAGGACGAGAACAAGGAUACGGGUGAGGAUUUUCCAACCAGCAAGACAGGGCAAAUUUUGCAUUUGCCAAAGACGAGUUUCUAAUUAAGCCGAAAGUCCUGACAACCGACGUCAAUCCGAGAGGCCGCAAAAUUAUGCGAAAUCUCGCAGUCAUUUACAAAUUUGGAAAAUCAACAGCAGUCAUCGCGUUUCCCGCGCCGACUUAAAUCUAAAAUGGAAAUCUUUAACGAACUACUUUUUUUUGGGCAGAAGGAGCCUGAAGACGAGGGCUUAAGACCCCAAUUGACAUGCGAACUUGACGCACAAAAACUUGCCAGUCAGGUUACCAGAUUAUGGCAAUGGGACGAUACCAAUCGACCAAUUGAAUUAAGCGCAUUAAAGCAGCGCCAUUGAUGUCAAUGGGAAAAUCACGCAGUCAUCGGGCGAAGGUGGAAAACCAAAAGUUGGAAAAUCGGAGUAACCACAACGCGAAAUCCAGCACUGAGAAAAAAUUGGUUGGUGGUUGUUUAGUGUGUCACAUCAAGUUUAUUGUUUGCUGAAGUAUCGAAUAUCCUUUUAUGCUUUAGAUGUAUAACUACACAUAUAAUACAUACAAGUAUAUAGUCUCGAUAACAUUAAGUUUAAAA